ensembl:lncRNA
CCCUCGGGCGCGCCUGCGUGGAAGGGACCACCCCACCUCCCCCUGCCCAGUUCCCAGCUGCCUGCUCGGGGUCGCCCCGCAGAAUCAGCCCACCAAUCCAUCAGCGGGCAGCAGGCUCCGAGCUGCUGGGGGCAUAAAUCAAAUGGCAAGGAGGAAAGGUUUAAAAAAAGGAAGAGACCGAUUGCUCGCUUUUCUGACCACGAAGACAGCUACAAAACUCCUACUGAUGACAAAACAGACCCGUAGCAGGAACUCUAGACUUCUCUCCGGUUGGGAUUUAGUACCGCUGGGCUCCUUUCUGAUCCUCGCUAGGAACUAAGUCAUCAAGAUGUAUAGCCCCACCCCCACCCCCCUUCUUCUUUAGCUCGAGCAGGUAACUUUCCAGAAGAGGAGCUGGCUGCAGAAUCUUUUACACUUGGGGUAAGACGGCUGAGUGUCAACAAACAGUAGCUGUCCUGAUGUAUCAGGUCUUCAAUGAUGCUUUAAUCUCAAGACCACUUGAUUCUUACCGCAACUGAGAAACCUUACAGGUAGAAAUACACGCGCGAUCUAGGGCCUUUUGGCUCUAGAGUGCUUUUCAAGAAUGUAACUCUUGGAGCACACUGUAGGACAGCGCUGGGCAAAUCCUGGCUUCAGGUCAGAGCUUGAUGCUCAGAGGUGAAGCGAGUUCCGGAUUUCUUCCUGGUUAGACAGGAAGCAGUUAAACAACUCUGUUCUCCUACCACAAGGAGGCGCUGUGAAGAUCGCGGUAGACCUGGAUCUUGGUUCUUGGUCACAGCGUUCUCAUAAUUAGAGACAUCCAGGAUGAGCCCAAAGGGACCUCAGAGGUGCCAGGUUUGGUGCCACCCUGUCACAGAGUGGCACCAUAGGGCAGAGGUGUCUCUGGUUCUCGCCUGGUGCUGGAGCCAGGCUUUGGGUGGCCACUAGGUCUCUGCAGGGUACUGAAGGCCUGCAGAGUCCUCCUCCUCCAGAGCAGUGAUGCUUCCAGAACCAGUGAGCACUUGCGUUUCUGCUCCUGUCUUUAAUCAGAGUGGUUUCAAGUGUCUGGUUUAUUUUUUAAACAUAGGAAAGAUUUAGCAUCAAACUUACAAGUAUUAAUCUUUGGACAUACUUUAUUUUGGAAUAAUUCAGAUUUAUAGAAAAGUGGUGAAGAUAAUACAGACAGAGGCCAUAUACCGCUCUCCCAGCCUCCCCCAAUGCUGACCUCCAAAUGACCAGGGAAGGGAACAUUAGUUUAUUACUAUUCACUAACGCCUGAAUUGGAUUUCAGCAAGGUCUCUCUUACUGUCUUUUUACUGUCUUGGCAUCUGGUCAGGGUACCAUACUGCAUUUAAGAGGGUAUUACUUUCUAUUACAAUACAGAAUUAAUUUCCUAAACAAACCAUGCCACAUGCACACACACACACACACACACACACACACACACACACACACACAAAGAAAGGAAAAGUCCCCUCUGCCCUAUUAAGUUUGGUCUGUAGCCUUCUAGAUCUUCAUCAUCCAAUACGAUACCUGGCUGAUGAGGUGACCACAAGUUAAAUGAACUAAAAUCCACCAUAACUAACAUUCAGUUCCUCAGUCACACUGAUUACAUCCCAUGGGCUCAGUAGCACACAUUGCUGGUGGUUACCAGCCCCAGGCAGCAUAGAGAGCAGAGCCUUCCAUAGCACACCGGGCUUGCAUUGUUCUAGGUGUGUUUCUAGGUUUAAAUAUACGUGUUUAACAUUUUACCUAAUUUUUUCCCCCAUUGAUUGACUUUUUCUUUCAUUAAAAGAUUUGUAGCAUGCAA